CUGGCGGCGUGCUUAACACAUGCAAGUCGCACGAGAACACCUCAGCUUGCUGGGGUAAGUAAAGUGGCGCACGGGUGAGUAACGCGUGGGUAAUCUGCCCCUGAAUCUGGGAUAACGCUGCGAAAGCGGUGCUAAUACCGGAUGACAUCGAAUUGACUUCGGUUGAUUGGAUCAAAGGUAGCCACUCCAUGGAAGCUACUGUUUGGGGAUGAGCCCGCGUACCAUUAGCUUGUUGGUAGGGUAACGGCCUACCAAGGCGACGAUGGUUAGCUGGUCUGAGAGGAUGAUCAGCCACACUGGAACUGGAACACGGUCCAGACUCCUACGGGAGGCAGCAGUGAGGAAUUUUGCGCAAUGAGGGAAACCUUGACGCAGCAACGCCGCGUGAGUGAUGAAGGCUUUCGGGUCGUAAAGCUCUGUCAAGUGGGAAGAAAUCCCGGGAAGUGAACAGUUUUUCGGGUUGACGGUACCACUGAAGGAAGCACCGGCUAACUCCGUGCCAGCAGCCGCGGUAAUACGGAGGGUGCGAGCGUUAUUCGGAAUUACUGGGCGUAAAGGGCGCGCAGGCGGUCAUGUAAGUCAGAUGUGAAAGCCCGGGGCUUAACCCUGGAAGUGCAUUUGAAACUGUGUGACUUGAGUAUGGGAGAGGGAAGCGGAAUUCCUGGUGUAGCGGUGAAAUGCGUAGAUAUCAGGAGGAACACCCGUGGCGAAGGCGGCUUCCUGGACCAAUACUGACGCUGAGGCGCGAAGGCGUGGGGAGCAAACAGGAUUAGAUACCCUGGUAGUCCACGCAGUAAACGGUGAUCACUAGGUGUAGCGGGUAUUGACCCCUGCUGUGCCGAAGCUAACGCAUUAAGUGAUCCGCCUGGGGAGUACGGCCGCAAGGUUAAAACUCAAAGGAAUUGACGGGGGCCCGCACAAGCGGUGGAGUAUGUGGUUUAAUUCGAUGCAACGCGAAGAACCUUACCAGGGCUUGACAUGUCCGGAACCUUGCCGAAAGGUAAGGGUGCCUACGGGAACCGGAGCACAGGUGGUGCAUGGCUGUCGCCAGCUCGUGUCGUGAGAUGUUGGGUUAAGUCCCGCAACGAGCGCAACCCACGUUCUUAGUUGCCAGCAUUCAGUUGGGCACUCUAGGGAGACUGCCGGUGACAAACCGGAGGAAGGUGUGGAUGACGUCAAGUCAGCAUGCCCCUUACGUCCUGGGCUACACACGUACUACAAUGCUGUGGACAAAGGGCAGCCAGCCGGCGACGGUGAGCUAAUCCCAUAAACCACGGCACAGUUCAGAUUGCAGGCUGCAACUCGCCUGCAUGAAGGAGGAAUCGCUAGUAAUCGCAGGUCAGCAUACUGCGGUGAAUACGUUCCCGGGCCUUGUACACACCGCCCGUCACACCAUGGGAGUUGGUUUUGCCCGAAGUCGUUACUCCAACCUGCGGGGGGGGGACGCCGAAGGCAGGGCUGAUGACUGGGGUGA
rnacentral:rRNA from 1 species